rnacentral:rRNA from 1 species
AUUGAACGCUGGCGGCAGGCCUAACACAUGCAAGUCGAACGAGUGGCGGACGGGUGAGUAAUGUCUGGGAACCUGCCUGAUGGAGGGGGAUAACUACUGGAAACGGUAGCUAAUACCGCAUACCAUCAGAUGUGCCCAGAGGGGCUUAGCUAGUUGGUGGGGUAACGGCUCACCAAGGCGACGAUCCCUAGCUGGGCUGAGAGGAUGACCAGCCACACGGGAACUGAGACGCGGCCCAGACGCCUACGGGAGGCAGCAUGGGAGAAUAUUGCACAGUGGGGGCAAGGCUGAUGCAGCCAUGCCGCGUGUAUGAAGGAGUCCUUGGGGUUGUAAAGUACUUUCAGCGGGGAUGCGUUACCCGAAGAAGAAGCACCGGCUAACUCCGUGCCAGCAGCCGCGGUAAUUC